rnacentral:rRNA from 1 species
GUGUCAGCCGCCGCGGUAAUACGUAGGGGGCAAGCGUUGUCCGGAAUCAUUGGGCGUAAAGAGCGUGUAGGUGGCUCGGUAAGUCCGCUGUAAAAGUCCAGGGCUCAACCCUGGAAAGCCGGUGGAAACUGUCGAGCUAGAGUCCGGAAGAGGCGAGUGGAAUUCCUGGUGUAGCGGUGAAAUGCGCAGAUAUCAGGAGGAACACCAAUGGCGAAGGCAGCUCGCUGGGACGGUACUGACACUGAGACGCGAAAGCGUGGGGAGCAAACAGGAUUAGAAACCCCCGUAGUCC